rnacentral:rRNA from 1 species
CCUACGGGUGGCAGCAGUGGGGAAUAUUGCGCAAUGGGCGAAAGCCUGACGCAGCGACGCCGCGUGAGGGAUGAAGGUCUUCGGAGCGUAAACCUCUGUCAGCAGGGAAGAAAGGUCACGGUGCUAAUCAGCAGGGAAUUGACGGUACCUGCAAAGGAAGCACCGGCUAACUCCGUGCCAGCAGCCGCGGUAAUACGGAGGGUGCGAGCGGUAAUCGGAAUUACUGGGCGUAAAGCGCGCGUAGGCGGUAUGUCAAGUCAAGGGUGAAAUCACCGCGCUCAACGUGGGAACUGCCUUUGAAACUGGUAACCUGGUGUGUGUGAGAGGAUAGUGGAAUUCCAGGUGUAGGAGUGAAAUCCGUAGAUAUCUGGAGGAACAUCAGUGGCGAAGGCGACUAUCUGGCCCAUAACUGACGCUGAGGAGCGAAAGCGUGGGUAGCAAACAGGAUUAGAUACCCCAGUAGUC